CCACAGCAGAAUGACUCGGCAAGGAGAAGGGCUUGUCGGGUCUAGCUGGGAGUGGAGGUGGGCCAGGCUGCCAGAGGGAGGCUUUGGGUGGUGCCCUUAAGAGUCUCCUUCAUGAGCUGUUUUGCACUGUGAGCUCUACUAAAAAUACAAAAUUAGCCGGGCAUGAUGGUGCACGCCUGUAAUCUCAGCUACUUGGGAGGCUGAGACAGGACAAUCGCUUGAACCUGGGAGGCGGAGGUUGCAGGGAGCUGAGAUCACGCCACUGCAUUCCAGACUGGGCGACAGAGCAAGACUCUGUCUCUCUCAAAAAAAAAAAAAGAAAGAAAGAAAGAAAGAAAGAAAAUAUCACAAUGUAAUUUUUGAACUUUUUAUUGACGUACAGCAUACCUCCAGAGAAGUGCUGAAAGCUUGCAUUCUUACAGGUAAUACACCCAGCACCCAGAUCAAGAAAUGGAACAUAACCAGCACCCCAGAACCCUACCCUAAAAAUGUAAUUUAAAAAAAAAGAUUUUAAUAAAUAUCUUUUAGCGUGCCCUUUAUAUACAUGGUUUACUUUUAACUUUCUGAUCCCCUUGCCCUCCUCCUAGAAUAGAAACCUCCCAACAACCGGGGCUUCUAGACACAGGCAGCUAGAAUGAGGCCUGGCGCAAAGCAGGUGCCAAAACUACCUGCUGAAUGAAUGGGAGUGCAGAGUGCACCCCAGGUAGUGAAGGCAUUGUUUCUGUGGUGUACUUGCUUCCUCGUUGUAAAGUCCGUUUCUUUCUGUAGGUCACAGUCAAAACACGGAGAGCCAUGGCUACAACUUGAGCAAGUCAAACACGCUGUGAUUCAGGCCAGGGAGAUGAGCGUGGGUAAAGAACACUGUACGAACUAGCUCAGGGCUUCUGGAACUGUGUGCGGCUGAAUCACCGGGGCAUCUUGGUGAACUGUAAAUUCUGAUUCAGCAAACUGGGAGGAGGGCGCUGAGAUCCAGCAUUUCCAUCAAGCUUCCCAUGGACCACACUCUGACUAUCAGGGCCUUCGAUGCAGACAGUCUCGAUACAGCUGCACACAAGAAUCACACAGAAAGUUUUAAAAAUGCCAAUGCCAGGCCAGGCACAGUGGCUCACGCUUGUAAUCCCAGCACUUCGGGAGGCCGAGGCAGGCAGAUCACAAGGUCAGGAGUUCGAGACCAGCCUGGCCAACACAGUGAAACCCCGUCUCUACUAAAAAUACAAAAAUUAGCUGGGCGUGGUGGCAGGCACCUGUAAUCCCAGCUAC
rnacentral:lncRNA from 10 species